UUGAACGCUGGCGGCAGGCCUAACACAUGCAAGUCGAACGGUAACAGGAAGAAGCUUGCUUCUUUGCUGACGAGUGGCGGACGGGUGAGUAAUGUCUGGGAAACUGCCUGACGGAGGGGGAUAACUACUGGAAACGGUAGCUAAUACCGCAUAACGUCGCAAGACCAAAGAGGGGGACCUUCGGGCCUCUUGCCAUCGGAUGUGCCCAGAUGGGAUUAGCUAGUAGGUGGGGUAACGGCUCACCUAGGCGACGAUCCCUAGCUGGUCUGAGAGGAUGACCAGCCACACUGGAACUGAGACACGGUCCAGACUCCUACGGGAGGCAGCAGUGGGGAAUAUUGCACAAAGGGCGCAAGCCUGAUGCAGCCAUGCCGCGUGUAUGAAGAAGGCCUUCGGGUUGUAAAGUACUUUCAGCGGGGAGGAAGGGAGUAAAGUUAAUACCUUUGCUCAUUGACGUUACCCGCAGAAGAAGCACCGGCUAACUCCGUG
rnacentral:rRNA from 1 species